ACCACACACACGGCACAAGAUGGCCGGAGAGGCAGCAGCACCCCGAGCUGUCAGGCUCUCCGCCGCGGCCGUCGGGUCCGCUGACCGGCGGGAAGCUGCACCAGGGCCGCUAGAAGGCCCUCGGGAGCGGGGCGGCCGCGGCUGAGGCGAGACGGGCCGCACGUCGGCGGCAGAUCCCGCGGUAGGGGUUCCCGAGGCGGCCGGGCCAGCGAUGCCGAAAGUCUCGCUGCGGCAGCGGCCGCGGAGGCUCCCCGGGGCCUCGUCGUCUCGGCCCGGCGCGGGCAGAAGGCUCGGGCGGGCGGCCCGGCCCGUACCUCGGCUGCAGGUGGCCAGGAGGUGCUAUCGGCCGCGCUCGGAACUGGUAACUUACAGGAUUGAAAUUAAUUUGGUUGUGGAUGGUUCUGAACAAAUACGGCUCUUUUGAGGUAUGCCAUUUUGAAAACAGAUGGAGUUGUAUCUUUGAGGAAAAGGAAGUUUUUGGAAAAGUGUAUAUUUUAUUCAGCAGGUAAGUAAAUAUUUUUAACCAACAUUUGUAUAGGAAAAUAUCACUAAAGUUUACCAAAGAAACGUAAACUGUAGACUCUUUAGUUCUAAAAAUGAGGAAAAGCCCAUCAGAAUCUUCUACCUUACGUCAAAACACUUUUGUAUUAAAACAGUCAGUGUAUGCCAUUUUUAUCGGAACAGAUAGGCAUUCCAUACUUACUCAUAAAAUAGUGCUUCAGGAUUAUGGUUAGAUCUGUAGUAGAUGUCAGAAUUAUGUCUUUACAAUCUGAAAUAUACUUUUUUAGCCUUUUUUUUUUUUUUUGGAUGGUACAGAAAACUGG